UGUUCCUGAAAAUAGGUCAAUAUGGUGAGGAAUGAAAGGGAAAACACUGAGAAGGAAACAGAAAAAUGAAUUGUGUGGUUCUAAGAAGAUAGUGUUCAUGAGCAGACCACAGAAAGAGGUGGUACUAGAAAGAUAAUGAUUGUAUUUGGAAGUGCAAAUUUGAGACGUACGAAAACCUAUGGAAAAAAAUAGAGGAGAUUUGAGCAGUAAAAUCAAAACUUUGAUUAGUUCUUUCAAGACAAGAAUAGAGAACGUGAUCCUCAUAAGGACAGCUCUAUUACCUUUUCUAUUAGAGUGAAUUUUCAGUCCUGCUUCCCCACUUUUUUUUUCUUUUAGUUGAAGUUUUUCUCUGGCAAUAUUGCAACCUUUUCAACCAAACCGCUGUUGCCUUGGUCAUGUAUAGCUCCAGAAACAUCAUCAAAACUUUCUGUGGCUCAUAUGCCUGUCUCUUAAUGGGGGAGUUGCCUCUCAGAAAGAGUGGUCUUAUAUUCCUGGAGUAAGUGCUCACACAGUCAAAUGGGCUUUGGGAACCAAAGGAAAUAAUGUGAGGUUCAAAACACCUCCAGCUUAAUGUAUUUCCCCCCUUCUCCUCAUUUACCCGGUUUUUCAAGAAAUCAGCCAGGCAAAGCUGUUCAAAUCUGAUGCUGGUAAAACUGUGAAAGUUUAACAUAGAAAAAGGAGAAGCAUUUCUAUAUGCCACAGUGAAUACCAAAACAUAUUUGAUAACACUGGCUUAAUGUAAGUGUGAUAAAGCAGUUUUUAGCAUAACGUUUUAUAUUGUCUCAUUGCAUGAUACCUAGCAGAUCUUUGGCAGUGUGAUCCAUAAAGACAAAAUAAUACAUAAAAGAUGCAGUACAAGGAAAGAUAAAUUGAGGGCAUAAAUUUCCUUUUGAGCUCCAAGCUGUGCCGUGAGGGGAAGCACAUACAAAUAACUUCUGUCCAUCCACAAAAGUCAGAAUGCCUCACCCUUGCAGUUUUGAAACUAAAUUCUUGUCACUCUAAAUGAUGCUUUGGCUGGGCCGUGAUCAACAGAACACAGAAUUUCAAGGUCUCUAGGAUGAACAAGUUCUUAUUAACCUAUCUAUUCUUGUGUUAAAGGCACUGAGAAGUGUCUGUGUUCUCUUGUAGGGAGGUGACAGUGACUGACUAUGUACCACCAGCUCUUCAAGCUUCUCCUUGCAACAGUCUCUCCUCACAGUCCCAGUGUUUUCAGUGUUCAGGUGCUGUAACUUGAGAUAAUAUCCAGAGUGCUUGAAUUGAAACUUCUAUGAAGAAUACACACUCGUUUGUCCCCGAACAAGAAAAAAUGUGAACAUAUACAUUGUAUAUUUCAGUGCCCAGCCCAGAAAAUCACAUCAGAUCCCUGUAGAGGUGUUCAGUACUCUGGUUUUAGACCUGGAAACUGUAUAUGAGAUCAGCAAGGUGUGAUACUUUCCUAACACAGAAGCUGAGAUUUUGCAAUCCAGGAGCUCUGCAGAGGUGUGUGCUGCUCUUGGAAGGAGCUUGGAUGUCUCUGAUGUGCUGCUGCCGUGCUCCUGAUGGACAAAGCCUCAAAUAUCUGGGGUUUUUUUUGAAUUUUAAUAAGUCAUCUCUGACCAAAAUACCUGAGAAGCCCUCUACUGCUGGAACAUCCUCUGAUACGCGUUCCUAAACCUCUCCUGGGUAAAAGAUCAAACGGGUUGAGAACACCCAACUAAGACCAAGAAGAGAUGCAAAGGAAAGAGAGGUGGUCUCAAGAAGACUGAACAGUUACAAUGUGGAGAGCUGAAGUGCUGCUAAACAAGGGAGGCCAGAAUUUCUCUAGCUGUGGCAACUGAGCCCCAUGACUGGAGCUUGUUCUGCCAGCUGUUGGUAUUUUAUUUGUGUUCAGAUGGUGACAGAAGGCCUCAACAAUGACAAGUUCAGUAUCAGGAGGUGUUGGUCAGCACCUGAAGAUUCAGGCUGUUCCUGAACAACCUUCGAGCUAAACAAACCAGUUGAGUUAUCCCACUUUGGGAUAAUCAUUAGGAAGUAAGUGCCCAAACAAGAUUUAUGGAUCUGUGCCAGCAUGCCUGUGAAGGUCAGAUGGGUGUGUAGGGAACAUGAAGAACUGAGCCCUGUGGCCUCGAUUUGUUGGCUGGAGUGUAGGCAUCGCUUCAACUGAUCUCAUUCUGAGAAGACUGUGAAAAGGGAAUGGAGAAUUUAAUUUCACACUUCCUAACAUUUUAAACUGUACAGGAAUAUUUUUGGCACACGAGGCAGUAGAGUACAGGAAUCACUUCAGCACUGCUUAUGAAUGGAG